rnacentral:rRNA from 1 species
UACGGAGGGGGCUAGCGUUGUUCGGAAUUACUGGGCGUAAAGCGCACGUAGGCGGCUUUGCAAGUCAGAGGUGAAAGCCCGGGGCUCAACCCCGGAAUUGCCUUUGAGACUGCAUCGCUAGAAUUGUGGAGAGGUAAGUGGAAUUCCGAGUGUAGAGGUGAAAUUCGUAGAUAUUCGGAAGAACACCAGUGGCGAAGGCGGCGACCUGGACGGACACUGACGCUGAGACGCGAAAGCGUGGGGAGCAAACAGG